AUUUCUAGAGAUAGAAAGUUACUUCGGUACAUCGGUGACAGGUGGUGCAUGGUUGUCGUCAGCUCGUGUCGUGAGAUGUUGGGUUAAGUCCCGCAACGAGCGCAACCCCUAUUGUUAGUUGCCAUCAUUCAGUUGGGCACUCUAGCGAGACUGCCGGUAAUAAACCGGAGGAAGUGGGAUGACGUCAAAUCAUCAUGCCCCUUAUGACCUGGGCUACACACGUGCUACAAUGGUUGGUACAACGAGUUGCGAGUCGGUGACGGCGAGCUAAUCUCUUAAAGCCAAUCUCAGUUCGGAUUGUAGGCUGCAACUCGCCUACAUGAAGUCGGAAUCGCUAGUAAUCGCGGAUCAGCACGCCGCGGUGAAUACGUUCCCGGGCCUU
rnacentral:rRNA from 1 species